CCUACGGGGGGCAGCAGUAGGGAAUCUUCCACAAUGGGCGAAAGCCUGAUGGAGCAACGCCGCGUGGGUGAAGAAGGUCUUCGGAUCGUAAAACCCUGUUGUUAGAGAAGAAAGUGCGUGAGAGUAACUGUUCACGUUUCGACGGUAUCUAACCAGAAAGCCACGGCUAACUACGUGACAGCAGCCGCGGUAAUACGUAGGUGGCAAGCGUUAUCCGGAUUUAUUGGGCGUAAGGGGAACGCAGGCGGUCUUUUAAGUAUGAUGUGAAAGCCUUCGGUUUAACCGGAGUAGUGCAUUGGAAACUGGGCGACUUGAGUGCAGAAGAGGAGAGUGGAACUCCAUGUGUAGCGGUGAAAUGCGUAGAUAUAUGGAAGAACACCAGUGGCGAAAGCGGCUCUCUGGUCUGUAACUGACGCUGAGGUUCGAAAGCGUGGGUAGCAAACAGGAUUAGAUACCCCUGUAGUC
rnacentral:rRNA from 1 species